ensembl:lncRNA
GGCUUUGCAUCCAAAAUAGCCCCCUCUGCAGUUUUCCUCCUCAUCCAGAAGUGGCUAUAUGUAAGACACGGCAGAUAGCUGGCAUACAGGAAGUGUUAUUCAGCUUUCAUUCCAUACACAGACAGAAGAAAGAACAAAGCAAGGGUUAAAAAUAAGAAAUUUGGAGGAAAAGAAACUUCGAGGAAAGAAAUGAGCUGUACCCAUCCAGCUGUGCUAUCUGCUGCCCUGUCGGCAGGGAAUGAUGUAUUUUUGAGAAGGACGCGUGUGUAAAGAAACAGCGAUUGAAAACACAUGCGAAUGGAAAGGGAUUUUACCCAGCUCUCCCUCAGCCUGAGAAGAAAGCUGUCCAUUGCACUAAUUGCCACGCGAGCCCCAGAACUGUGUGGCGCUGCCAGGCUCUGAUCCCUCCCUGGAGAGCAGAGACGAAUGCAGAAGGACGGCGUGGGAGGUCAGGGGCAGCCAGCAAGAUCUUGCAGUCUCACAGUCUUUGGAUUUGCAGUAGCUAUAGAUGCUCACUUGAUGCUACGGCUGUCAGCACCAUGGACUUCCCUGCCUCCAGGAUGCAUGCAGUUGCCCAAAGGACUCUGGAGGGAUAUAUAUUAUAUAUAUACAAGAUAUACAUCACGGUCUAUAUUACAGCUGAAGGCAGAAAGAAAGUGUAAUGUCAACUGGGCUGGAUCAGAAUGUCAACAGGAAGGAUCAUGGCACAUCAGAGCAACCAUGUGGUGCUCGGAGAUGGCAUUUCAGCUCGCCCAUCACUGCGCAUGGAAUUAAACCAGGAGAAGCCUUUUGGUGGCUCCAGCAGGUGCCUGCAGCACUGAGCACUGCCCAGCUGCAGACAGUUCCCCCCACGUGCCUAUUGCUGCCCCCGCCAUGGAGCCCCAGCUUCAUUCACGUCUUUAAACAGGAGGUGGCAGAGGCAGCUCAGUGCCCUGGAAGGUCAGGUCAGGCUUCAGGGCCUCCAGCUGCCUGAAAGCUGAACAGAAAUGAAAAGCUGUUGGUUAAGGAGAGAGCGCCUCGGGCUUCCCGCUGAGCCUGGCUGCAGCCCUUUAAUUAGGAUAAGGAUUCCUGCCCAUCUUUUCCAGUCCCAUUUUUUAAAGAAACAGAGAAGUUUGCAACCCUUUGGACAACGUCUCUUUGCUUUGCCCACGCCAUGACGUGCUUCCCACAAAAACAAUGUCAGAGUGCUUUCCUCAUCACAGAAUCACAGAAUCACAAGGGUUGGAAGGGAGAUAGUUGGAGAUAAUUGAGUCCAGCACCCUGCUAAAGAAGGUUGCUCAGGAAGGUGUCCAGGUGGGUCUUGAAUAUCUCCAAAGAAGGAGACCCCAGAAUUGGCAGCCUGUUCCAGUGCUCUGUCACUGUGCUCAUCACUUAGGGGAAAUGAUCUGGAACAGAAAAAGCUUGUAGGCCUUUCUGAUUGUUUUUAACCCAGACCCUUGUCCUGAGUGCAGUGUGAUGGUGUAGGUCUGCAGUGCAGCUUUCUUGGCUGGAAAAUCAUUGAGUACAGACCCACUCAAAAUCACUAAGAACAGACCCAUUCACCUACCCAUCACUCCUUGCUCACUGUUUUCCAUCCCUGAAUCUCACUUUGCUGCUGCCUGCAUUAUGAGCAUAAAAUUAGGAUGCAGCUCUGUAUGCCAAGGCCUCGAAAAGGUCCAGCUUUGCAGUAGGAGUAGUGCUGUCAACACCCUUCCCAGUGCAGCAGAGGUUUGGGCAGUGAAAUUCAGUUUGCAAAGGCCCACGUGUCCAUUUUGCCCAUUUGUGUGGAGUUCCAGCUGUAGCAGGGCUGGGAGAAGAGGAGGAAAGGAAGCUCUGAGACUGAUGUCACUGCUGCGUACUGUGAGAAUGACCCACUUCAUCACCCGCAUUUGGUAUUUCUGGCCCAGUCCCCAGAGUAAGACUGGGUGGGGUGGGAAUAAACCCUAUGGGCAUCACUGAGCACCUGCCAGACACCAGCAAUUUGGGAAACCAGGGAGCACUAAAGACACAGAAAACGGAAUUUAUGGAUUUCUGUGUUCCACCCUAAAACAAACGUGGUAUUUCCAAUGGCAGCCGACACUCCAUGAUCACUGUAUUUGAAGCUUAUAUCGUAACAUUUGGGUUGGGCUUUUUGUGAGAAAGUCUCCUGUACUUGAAAGAUAAAAACCAAAGCCCCACUGCAGCAGAACCAGACCACCAAAUCAAUCACUACAAAGCCAUUAAAUACACUUAUGGAAAAGUUUUCCACAGCAGCACUCCAUGCCCUGGCCCCAGGCUCCCCAGGGCCUGGUAUCCAUGGCAUUUCUCCAUGAAGAUGUGGCUCUAGGAAGGCCUGCCAGCGCCUGGCGAGGGACGGCCGAGCCCAGCUGAACGUGUGUAUUUUCCCCGUCACCGCCCCUUCUGCACAUGACCUGUUAAAAGGAUUAAAUUAAAAGAAUUCCCAGAGCUAAUCUAGUGAUGAUAUUAUGAGAGACAGGAGCUCAAGCGCAUCCCGGGGAUGUCUGAUCGGGUUGUCUAGGAUGUAUUAUUUAUGGGGCCAUCUGCUUUAGACAGGGAUUGAAGUCUGAGCGGGAGGAGGGUUUUGAUGGAGUUCAGCAGCUUUACUGGGACAAGGGGGUUGUAGAGUAUUCCCUCCCCAGAAAAUAAAUGCAGAUGUAGGCGUUUGUGGAAUAAAUCUGGCACCAGAGUACCCGUGUGUUGGUGCCUUCACUAAAAUACUGCGCGGCCUGCAGAGCCCUCAGGAGCCCCCGCAGAAGGGACGUUGGCAGUGCAGUGUUUUAGCAGGAGGGAGAGAGCUGCACAACGUCAGGGCUCCAGCCGGAGUUAUUGGUACACAGGCUGAGAAAUGCAAUGGCAUAAACAGAUCUGCG